GAUGAACGCUAGCUACAGGCUUAACACAUGCAAGUCGCGGGGCAGCAUGGGGGUUGCUUGCACUCCCCGAUGGCGACCGGCGCACGGGUGAGUAACGCGUAUCCAACCUGCCCUUCACCACGGGAUAACCCGGCGAAAGUCGGACUAAUACCGUAUGUUGUCCAUUGACGGCAUCCGAUUUGGACGAAAGGCUUGGCGGUGAGGGAUGGGGAUGCGUCCGAUUAGCCAGACGGCGGGGUAACGGCCCACCGUGGCUACGAUCGGUAGGGGUUCUGAGAGGAAGGUCCCCCACACGGGAACUGAGACACGGUCCAGACUCCUACGGGAGGCAGCAGUGAGGAAUAUUGGUCAAUGGGCGUAAGCCUGAACCAGCCAAGUAGCGUGCAGGAGGACGGCCCUAUGGGUUGUAAACUGCUUUUAUGCGGGGAUAAAGUGGCCCACGUGUGGGCUUUUGCAGGUACCGCAUGAAUAAGGACCGGCUAAUUCCGUG
rnacentral:rRNA from 1 species